UACGUAGGGGACGAGCGUUGUCCGGAGUUACUGGGCGUAAAGCGCACGCAGGCGGUCUGCUAAGUUUGGAGUGACAGUUGGUGGCUUAACUGCCAAAGUGCUUCGAAAACUGACAGACUUGAGGGCUUCAGAGGGACACGGAAUUCCGGGUGGAGUGGUGAAAUGCGUAGAGAUCCGGAGGAACACCAAAGGCGAAGGCAGUGUCCUGGGGAGUACCUGACGCUCAGGUGCGAGAGCCAGGGGAGCGAACGGG
rnacentral:rRNA from 1 species